AAAGAGGCCUUUGGAGAGAAUGGCCUCUUACAAGACAAACAAGGAACAGACGGACGUUUAUCAACGCCGCUGCUCUGUUUUACAUUUUGUGUCACUGAGGUGGUGUCACUAAGUAGCUCAUGCUGGCCUUGAACUAUCUAGCUUCCUGUCUUAACCGUUGUGAUUACCCGUGUGCUCCACCAUGUCUGGCUAAUGCUGUGCCCCAUCAUGGCGAUUUCCUUUACGCAGGGAGGCCGUCUUGGAGACUCAUGUUUGGUUUGGUUUGCACAUUCGUGGGCAGAUCCUGACUCUGAAGAAAUGAGUGUUUGGCUACUUCAGGUCCAGGAAUUAUAAAUGUGACUCGAGUUCUUCCCUGGGUAACUGCCUGAAAUUCCUGACAAUGGCAACAUAGGAGAACGGAUGGUUUGGGGGAUUUUGUUUUGUUUUCUUUAUGCAGAAAAUUAAACUCUGUUCUUAAGCUGUA